CACCCAGGCGCCCUGAUGAAGGAAAUUUUUAAAAAGACCUAAGUAAAUGGAGAGACAUGUUGCGUUCACGAAUUGCAAGGCUCAGCAUUGCGUACGCCCCGCACUGAUUUGUAGGUUUAACCCAUUGCUUCUCAGAAUCCCAGCAGUGUUUUUUGGAGAUAUGGACAAUAUGAUUCUAAAAUUUACAUGUAAAGGCAAGGAGAUUAUAAUAGCUAAAACAGUGUUGGAAAAGAAGAAAGCGGGAGAUUAUAGGUUCACUCUGGUGUGAAGGCUCAUUAUAUAGUUAAGGUAAUGGAAACUGUGGUAUUGCAGCGGGACAGACACGUAGAUCAAUGUGAACAGGAUAGAAAACUCAAAAGCAGACCCACGCAAGUGUGCCCCACUGAUUUUUUAUAAAGGUGCAAACACAAUUGGCCAUCCAUAAGCAAAAUAUGACCCCCAAACUAGUCUCACAUCAUGCACAAAAAUUAACUUAGAGUGGAUCAUAGCUCUGUGUGUGAAGCAUUAGAAUACAAGACUAGCAAAAAACAAAACAAAACAAAACAAAAAAACACA